ensembl:lncRNA
GCCUCGGUGGGAAAUAGUAAAUAAAGAUGGGGCAUAGAAGCAGAACCGAGUCGUAUGUGUGGAGGGACAGUAACUGUGUGUGUAUAUAAAAAGGUGUGAUCCUGGAGAUCCCUGCACUUCCUGUGACAACAGGAAGUGAUGUUACUCUGCGUUGCAGACAGAUCAAUGGUGACUUGGUGGCAGCUUACUUCUUCUUCAGUGGACGUCUUCUUGGAUCUGGAUAUAAAGAGCACACCAUCUCCAACGUGCAGCAGUCUAAUAAGGGGGUGUACUGGUGUGCUACUGAUCUAGCUGGACCAUCUCCUCAAAGCUUCCUAAAGAUCACAGAUUCACCUACAACUGCUUUCAGAUCUUCUGUGGCUUCUCCUCAUCUUGAAACCAUGCCCUCCAGCUCCUCUCUUCCCUCUUUUUCUCAUCCAACUAGCUCUUCCUCACCUCCUCCUCCUUCUCUUCAACCUCCUCCUUCCUCUCUGUCUGUGUUCCGACUUCUCUUACACCUGCUGGUCUUCUGUCCAUACUUCAUCAUCACGGGUCUGCUGCUGUCCAUCUGCUUGGAUCAGAUCUACACCACACGCUCAGGAAAUAGACUUGUCGUUUCCAUGGAGAUGACUCACCAGGUUGGACAGAAUGAGGAUAUUGCCGUUGAUAUCACCACUGAGCAUGACUUCUCAUCUGAAGCAAAGUGACCUGAAACACGUCACUCUUCUUGAACUCUGAGGAAGCUUUAUCACAAGCAAGCAGAGAGAGAGGGAGAGAGAGAGAAAGAGAGAGAGAGAACAUCACUCCAGAAGCUUCGGCUUCUCAUUUCUCAGAAGGAAAAUCUUGGGUGAGCCUGACUGCUGAAGAUAUCUACCUAUUCGGAACCAUGAUAACAGGGUUCUUGCUGAUCGGAGCUGGCUUGGCCCUGGCUUAUCGAAGAAUUAAGGAAGCAGAACCGGCUGUUCAAACCCCCACAAGGCUGCCCGCUGGGACUGAAACGAUGGGACGAGGCGUGAGUUCUCAAAAUGGGCUCAUUGAGUGCAGCACAGAUAAGAUCUUGGAGAAGCUCACGGCUGC